rnacentral:misc_RNA from 1 species
UAUUACGACAUUCCACUAGCGAACCAGCCGAUAUUACAAAUUACUUCCAGGGUGUCUACAAGAAUGAAUUCGGUCCUUUCCCCUGAAAUUAUUAGAGAUUCUGGACAACAAGAUAGAAAACCGGAAAUCCUGUGUCUUGUCUGCGGAGACAAGGCUUCUGGGAAACAUUAUGGCGUGCAGAGCUGCGACGGCUGUCGGGGAUUCUUCAAGCGGAGCAUCCGUCGUAGUCUGGAGUACGUCUGCAAGGAAAACGGAAACUGUGUGGUAGAUGUUGCAAGAAGAAACCAAUGCCAGGCCUGUAGGUUCCGGAAAUGUCUGGAAAUGAAGAUGAACAGAGAUGCUGUUCAACAUGAGCGGGCCCCCCGAUGUUACCAAUUCAAGAAAGACAACCCAGAUCAUUUUGGUGAUUCUAUGAAAAAUCAAAGCCCUUUUCCACAUCAUAUUGGCGAUAUAUUUGAGCGACAAAGAUGCUACACAUACAACCAGGUUCCAAGCUAUGGACUAAACAUUGGGUAUCACCCAGAGUACGCCGUACCAAGGUACUCUCCCUAUAUGCCUUCACUUCCGGUUCCUAUUCCGGACCAGAGACGUAACUUUUUCCUGUCCGCUAACAUAACCAAUGGAAAUAUCGACAUAGGUCUCCGCCCGCACCAGGAAUCAAGUGAUGGUGCGAGUAGCAGCGUAUCGUCUACAAACUCUUCUAUGAAUGGAGGAGAUAAAAGUAUCAGCAGGUCUCCCUCCCCUUCCGUGGACUCUACCGAGAGCAACAGCUCUCCUAGGCGAGACCAUAGUCCAGGUCUGCAUGAUGUGAAGCAAGAACAAGAGAGCAAACCCAGCGCCGACAUAUCCUCUCCGGUUAGUUCCAGUACCACGAGCGCAGAUGAAAAAGGCCAGCUGACCCCGCAUAAACUAGCCCUGCCAUUUACCAACCCACCUCGAUCUCCGCCCGACAACCCCACAGAGACCCCUCUCUACAAUGGCGUCCCCUCCAACGACUGUACGUUUGAGACGGCCGCCAAACUUCUGUUCAUGUCGGUCAAGUGGGCAAAAAAUAUACCUUCCUUCCUACAGCUGCCAUUCCGUGACCAAGCUAUUCUGUUGGAAGAAUCCUGGUGUGAACUCUUUGUACUGAGUGCGGCACAAUGGUCGUUGAAUAUUGACAUAGGUUUCUUACUAAGUGCUAAUGGAUACACGCUGGACGGACCUAAAAUGGAGAAGACCACAUUGAUGUCACUACAGCUGAGGCAGCUUCAGGAUAUCAUCUACCGCCUGAACGGCAUCCGUCUGGACUCUACGGAGUACGCAUGCCUUAAGGCUCUACUCCUCUUUAAACCAGAUGUGAAGGGACUGCGUGACUCGUUACAAGUGGAGGCAUUGCAGGACCAGGCACAGAUAAUGCUGUAUGAUUAUGUCAGCAACCAGAAACUUCUGAAAACGCGAUUUGGAAGACUACUACUGCAACUUCCGGCACUGCGCAACGUGAGUUCUCGCGCAGUUGAGGACAUUUUCUUCCGGAGAACAAUUGGCAACAUUCCAAUCGAAAGAAUCUUGUGUGACAUGUUUAAGUCAAGUUAAAUCAUUCGUUCUUAUUUUCGUUAUGUACUUGUUACCAUGGUUACUUGUAGUAUUUAUUCGUGUUAUUUUUGUCUACGCUUUAGAAAAGCGGGUGUUUUUUCAUGUUUUGGCUUCUGUGAGAUUUGUUCUGACUAUGGCGAUUAAUAAAUGUUACUUCAC